rnacentral:tRNA from 1 species
GCGAGGGUUGCCGAGCCAGGACAAAGAGGCUAGAGCCUUGUAAUCCCGUCCCGUAGGGGUUCGUGGGUUCGAAUCCCACCCCUCGCACCA